rnacentral:lncRNA from 1 species
CUGGAGAGAAGGUGGGUCCCCCCCGGCUCUACACAGCGGUUCAGCCGCGGGUGCCCAACUGGGGCUGGUGCUCUGCCCACGUGGGCUUCUCACGCUGCUUCCCCAGCCCAUGCCCCGCCGAGGACCUUUCCCUGCACACCGCCCGCGGGCUGGCUACAGCUCAGCCCUGCAGCUGCUCUCAGCAGCUCCCAGGGAGCGUGGGUCCUUCCCACCUGGCCCUCUCCCAGCAGGUCAGGCUGCUGCCGCAUCUCACGUUCUUCCUUCCCUUCCCCUCUCUUCUCAUCUUUUCCCUUCGCACGCAGGCUUUCCUGUACAAGGCUCUUGGGACAGCACUCGGAGCUUGUAAGGAAGUCCUCCAUGUGCAAGAGAAGCUGCUGCAACACCUGGAGGAAGCAAACGCGGAGGAGCCAUCUGAGGCCCAGGGGAUGGUCUCUCUUCUCAGCCACGCUGCUGAGAGCAACUUCCAGCCAGUCCUGGAUGUGCUCACCAUGUUUGCGUCCAGGCUGUGCAAAGGCCGGCGUGCAAAGAUGUCCGCACGCAAGAAGAUGGAACAGGACAGCACAAGAGCCCAAGCCACACGCAGCGCUCUUAUGCUCGCCCACGGCAGCUUGGCGCUGCGUGCCUCCAAAGAUCAACUGCUCGCCCGCCUGGAGGGAGACAUCGUGGGCAACAUCCUGCUGCUCUACAGCUGCAGCUGCCGGGUGAGAGCUGGGGGCGUGCCAGGGUGCCAGAGCGCCCAGCCGCAGCCCCUCCACCUGGGGGGAUGCUGAGAUGG